rnacentral:rRNA from 1 species
GAAACCAACAGGGAUUGCCCUAGUAACGGCGAGUGAAGCGGCAACAGCUCAAAUUUGAAAUCUGGCCCUUGGGUCCGAAUUGUAAUUUGUAGAGGAUGUUUUUGGUGCGGUAUCUUCCGAGUUCCUUGGAACAGGACGCCUUAGAGGGUGAGAGCCCCGUACGGUUGAAUGCCUAGCCUUUGUAAAACUCCUUCGACGAGUCGAGUAGUUUGGGAAUGCUGCUCUAAAUGGGAGGUAAAUUUCUUCUAAAGCUAAAUACUGGCCAGAGACCGAUAGCGCACAAGUAGAGUGAUCGAAAGAUGAAAAGCACUUUGAAAAGAGGGUUAAAUAGCACGUGAAAUUGUUGAAAGGGAAGGAUUUAUGACCAGACUUUUUCUAGGCGAAUCAUCCGGUGUUCUCACCGGUGCACUUCGUUUAGUUUAGGCCAGCAUCGAUUUUCGGGGCGGGAUAAAAGCUUUAGGAAUGUGGCUCCUUUCGGGGAGUGUUAUAACCUGUUGUAUAAUACCGCCCUGGGGAUCGAGGUACGCGCUUCUGCAAGGAUGCUGGCGUAAUGGUUAUCAAUCACCCGCCUUGAAACACGGACCAAGGAGUCGAACAUUUGUGCAAGUGUUUGGGUGUUAAACCCUCACGCGUAAUGAAAGUGAACGGAGGUGAGAGCCCUUACGGGUGCAUCAUCGACCGAUCCUGAUGUCUUCGGAUGGAUUUGAGUAAGAGCAUAACUGUUCGGACCCGAAAGAUGGUGAACUAUGCGUGGAUAGGGUGAAGCCAGAGGAAACUCUGGUGGAGGCUCGCAGCGGUUCUGACGUGCAAAUCGAUCGUCAAAUCUGCGCAUGGGGGCGAAAGACUAAUCGAACCAUCUAGUAGCUGGUUACCG